CUUUACCCAUUAUUUAGAAUGUGAUGUCAUUAAAGUCUGUGUUGGUGUAAUGGUCUGAUGUCCAAAUAUACAGUCGUGGCCAAAAGUUAUGUCAGUGACAUAAACUUGUCACUGACAACUGGUGUCAUAAUGUUUUUUGCAAAGCUGCUUAAGCUGUUGUGAUGUUCAUUCACAUUGUUUCUAGAUUAUUGUGUAGAGUGAUCAGAUGCAUUUUAAAUAACUGCACAAAAUUACUUUUCACAAAAAAUUAUAUUAAUAAUAAUUCAUUGUUUUUGGACCAUCACACAAAAGGACCAGCUAACAUUAAUUAACAUUAAUUGACUUUCAAAAGUGCAUAUCAACAGCACUUGUGAAUGUGUGAAUGAGUACUAAUCAGGUUAAUUACUAUCAUACUUAUUAGAUUGUAAGAGCAGACUGAUUGCUGUAAAGGGAGGGAAGAAGCACUUUCAAUCAUUGUGUUCUUGUUAGCAAUGGUUACUUUCAAAGAAAAAAAUGCUUUGCAUCAAAAUGUCUUCACAUGCAAGGAAAUUGUGCUGAAAGAAACAUUUACCGGAUCAUCAAGAACUUCAAGAAAAGAGGUUCGAAUGCAGUGAUAAGUCUUCAGGUGUGGCAGCCGCAGUGAAAAUGCGAAAAAGUGAAAAUUCAGUUUACUUUCAUUUUUUCACUUUGCGUGUUUGGGGUGGAGCGUCUCAAUUUUCAGAAGGAAAGAGUAUAUAAGGAAGUAAGUCAUACCUUAUACUGUAGUAAUCGUGUCAUCAGGACAAGAUUUCAGUAGUGUGGGAGUGAUGGUUUGGAGAACCCUGCAAGGUGGAAAGGUAGCCAUUUGUUCAAAAGUUGGCUUUUCUUGUAAGUGAUAUCUGGUGUGUUGUGAAGUUCCAAAUUCCUUUUAAACGUGGCACUGCCUGAUCAUCUGCACUUAAAGUUGUUCUGGAGACAACUAUCGGCUGCUCAUCCACCUUUCCUGGUGUCUGAAAAUCCCGUUUCACUCUCCAGUUUCGUCAUGACUGCAAACUUGUGAAGCAUCCUGAGACCCUCCUUAUUUUGGGGUUGCUUUUCAAACAAGGGAGUGGGCUCUCUCAUAAUUCUGCUCUAAAACACUGCCAUGAAUAAAGAACUGUGUCAAAACAUCCUGCAAGAGCAGUUUCUUCCAAUGAUCCAUGAGCAAUUUGGUGAUGAUCCAUGCAUUUUACAGCAUGCUGGAGCACCAUGUAACAAAGCAAGAGUGAUAAAGAACUGGCUCAAAGAACAUUAUGUUGAAAUUUUGGAUCCGUGGCCAAGCAACUCCUCAAAAGUCCACAAAAGACGAGUGGAUAAGCUGAAUCCCACAAAUUGUAAUAAACUCUGAGAACUAAUAAGGCAAGAAUCGAUCACCAUCAGUCAGGAUUUGGCCCUUAAAUUAAUAUCCAGCAUGCCAGAGUGAAUUGCAGAGGUUAUGAAAAACAAGGGUUAACACUGUAAAUAUCGACUAUAUAUAUAGCCAAUGAAAGCCCUUAAAACUUAUGACAUGCUUAUCAUUGUUUUUCAGUAUGCCACAGAAAUGGGGAAAAAUAUUCUACUGUUAAAAAUGCAUAAGAUUCAAUGACCAAUAAUUUUUUUCCUAUUUAAUUCGGAUAAGACAGAGAUUACUUUUUUGACCAAAAAACAAUACACAAAAUCUUGUACACUACAGUUUGCAACUAAAUGAAUGCUCUAUUACUUCCUCUGUAGCCAAAAAUCUGGGUGUUAUAUUAGACAGCAACUUGUCUUUUAAAAAAAAAACACAUUUCCCAUGUUUCAAAAACAGCAUGCGAAACCCUAUGAAACAUGUUACCUGUUUCUGAUGCAGACAAGCUAGUUCAUGACCUCUAGACUGGACUAUUGUAAUGCACUAGGUGGUUGUCCCAGAUGUUUUGUCCCUCCCUUGUUUUUCUUGGCAUUGCUUUAUCCUUUUUGGAGAGUGUACGUGCUCUAUCUUUCUCUUCGAUAGACGCACCUGUCUGUGGUUUGAGUGGCUGAUUGAUACGGUAAAAACGUCAACGAGGAGGAGAAAGGAGAUGGACAGAUCUUGUGGGCUAGACAGCAAACAAGCAUCUUUAUUUGUAUUUAGUUUUCUUCUUUGUAUGUUGUUGUCUGCUCUGUAUAAUUUCGUUCCUGGGUUGGUAUGUUCGUUAUUAUUGUGACGUCUGUUGGGAGUGAGUGAAUAAACAGAUUUGAGCGA